AAUAGAUACCCGGGUAGUCCACGCCGUAAACGGUGGGCACUAGAUGUGGGGCUCUUUCCAUGAGUUCCGCGUCGCAGCUAACGCAUUAAGUGCCCCGCCUGGGGAGUACGGCCGUAAGGCUAAAACUCAAAGGAAUUGACGGGGCCCGCACAAGCGGCGGAGCAUGCGGAUUAAUUCGAUGCAACGCGAAGAACCUUACCAAGGCUUGACAGUAUACGGGUCUAUCCCUAGAGAUAGGGAGUGCUUCGGCGCCGUAUACAGGUGGUGCAUGGUUGUCGUCAGCUCGUGUCGUGAGAUGUUGGGUUAAGUCCCGCAACGAGCGCAACCCUCGUCCUAUGUUGCCAGCGGAUAAUGCCGGGGACUCAUGGGAGACUGCCGGGGUCAACUCGGAGGAAGGUGGGGAUGAGGUCAAAGUCAUCAUGCCCCUUAUGUCUUGGGCUUCACGCAUGCUACAAUGGCCGGUACAAAGGGCUGCAAUACCGCGAGUGGAGCGAAUCCCAAAAAGCCGGUCUCAGUUCGGA
rnacentral:rRNA from 1 species